GACGAACGCUGGCGGCGUGCUUAACACAUGCAAGUCGAGCGGUAAGGCCCUUUCGGGGGUACACGAGCGGCGAACGGGUGAGUAACACGUGGGUGACCUGCCUCUAGCUCUGGGAUAAGCCUGGGAAGCUGGGUCUAAUACCGGAUAUGACCUCGCGGUGCAUGUUGCGGGGUGGAAAGCCUUGUGCGGCUAGGGAUGGGCCCGCGGCCUAUCAGCUUGUUGGUGGGGUGANGGCCUACCAAGGCGACGACGGGUAGCCGGCCUGAGAGGGCGACCGGCCACACUGGGACUGAGACACGGCCCAGACUCCUACGGGAGGCAGCAGUGGGGAAUCUUGCGCAAUGGGCGAAAGCCUGACGCAGCGACGCCGCGUGAGGGAUGACGGCCUCGGUGUAACU
rnacentral:rRNA from 1 species